rnacentral:rRNA from 1 species
UGGGGAAUUUUGGACAAUGGGGGAAACCCUGAUCCAGCCAUCCCGCGUGUGCGAUGAAGGCCUUCGGGUUGUAAAGCACUUUUGGCAGGAAAGAAACGUCGCGGGUUAAUACCCCGCGAAACUGACGGUACCUGCAGAAUAAGCACCGGCUAACUACGUGCCAGCAGCCGCGGUAAUACGUAGGGUGCAAGCGUUAAUCGGAAUUACUGGGCGUAAAGCGUGCGCAGGCGGUUCGGAAAGAAAGAUGUGAAAUCCCAGAGCUUAACUUUGGAACUGCAUUUUUAACUACCGGGCUAGAGUGUGUCAGAGGGAGGUGGAAUUCCGCGUGUAGCAGUGAAAUGCGUAGAUAUGCGGAGGAACACCGAUGGCGAAGGCAGCCUCCUGGGAUAACACUGACGCUCAUGCACGAAAGCGUGGGGAGCAAACAGGAUUAGAUACCCUGGUAGUCCACGCCCUAAACGAUGUCAACUAGCUGUUGGGGCCUUCGGGCCUUGGUAGCGCAGCUAACGCGUGAAGUUGACCGCCUGGGGAGUACGGUCGCAAGAUUAAAACUCAAAU